UUUCAUCUUCCCCGAAAACUUCAAUAAUUUUUAUGGCGCAUGCAAAUCUUGCUAUCGGCAGUCUGUCCUUGAUGAAAAAGUCUAGAAUGACUUUCCCUUGUGGUGCUGAUGAUGCGAAAGUAACAUGUUGCUCGGAUGGACAGCUCCAACGAUGCAUGAUGGACAGCUCCAAGAGGAAGUCAUUCUAGACUUUUUCAUCAAGGACAGACUGCCCAUCGCAAGAUUUGCCUGCGCCGUAAAAAUUGUUGGAGUUUUUGGGGAAGAUGAAAAAGAAGUAAAACCCAGAAACGGUGCUGAAGGCGGCCAUUCCCCAUACGAUACAUUUCAUUGCAACAUUCAUUAUAGUUGCAACACGAUAUGCGAAAACAAUAUCAAGUGCAGAAGCGACGGCCCAGAUAGGAAUCUACAAUUUUUCUCUCCUGUUUAAGUUUUCAGGUGCUCUAUCAUAGAGAUGGAGGAACAAAAAUCAAAGCAUGAGUAGGACAUACACCGAAACGACGAAUGCAAAUGUCCAAGGAUCAUCUAACGAUCGAACGGCUGAGAUGGCUGUAUUGACAGUUAGAAAACAGAUGGCUAAUAUGGACAUGACGGAGAAGGCGCCGGAAUAGGGUUUGUGUGGGGGUUCUUUGGUCGUGGGGGAAAACUAUUUUACUGUGUCCGACAUGAUGAGCGGCUGAAAUGUAUGCAGGAGGCCAAGUUGCAAAUGAAAGGAGCGGUGGAAUAUCCGUACCCAUUUUAGAUUUUUAUAGGCUGCUUUUGUAAAACUGGUAGUGUUAUUAAUAAAAUUUACUGCUUCAAACUUUUGUAAAGAUGAUCAGAGCGUCCAGUUAUGCAGAGAUUGUUAAUCAUGCAAAGUAUUUUAUAUUCCCAUCA